AUAGAGAUGGACGACGCGGGUCAAAGUGUAGUAUCUCUUCUUAUCAGCUAAAUAUCCGAUACGGGUUGUUUGGACCUAAGACAUUAAACUUAUUUUUUUUUGCAAGUUGGCGGAGCGCUUAAAGGCGGCUUCACCUCCGCCGCGGGUCGGCCCGGUAUUGCACUGUCUUCGGAAUCAGCCCACGUAUA